rnacentral:rRNA from 1 species
ACGGAAGGCAGCAGUGGGGAAUAUUGCACAAUGGGGGAAACCCUGAUGCAGCGACGCCGCGUGAGUGAAGAAGUAUUUCGGUAUGUAAAGCUCUAUCAGCAGGGAAGAUAAUGACGGUACCUGACUAAGAAGCACCGGCUAAAUACGUGCCAGCAGCCGCGGUAAUACGUAUGGUGCAAGCGUUAUCCGGAUUUACUGGGUGUAAAGGGAGCGUAGACGGCAUGGCAAGUCUGAAGUGAAAGCCUGGGGCUCAACCCCGGAACUGCUUUGGAAACUGUUAAGCUAGAGUGCAGGAGAGGUAAGUGGAAUUCCUAGUGUAGCGGUGAAAUGCGUAGAUAUUCGGAGGAACACCAGUGGCGAAGGCGGCUUACUGGGCUCUAACUGACGCUGAGGCACGAAAGUGUGGGUAGCAAACAGGAUUAGAUACCCUGGUA